GGUAUUGUUUACCCCACAAUAAGCCCCGGAAGGUUGUUGUGUUGAAAAAACAAUAG
rfam:Listeria floridensis FSL S10-1187 c1, whole genome shotgun sequence.